rnacentral:tRNA from 1 species
GGUGGGACCAGCCGAAGGCCGGCGACGGCAGCUGUCUUGAAAACAGAAGGCCCCUUCAGCGGGGCGUGCGGGUUCGAUCCCCGCUUCCACCGCCA